CCUGGGCCAAAACAGUGGCCUGUGCCUGUAGUCCCAGCUACUUGGGAGGCUGAGGCAGGAGGAUUGCCCAAGAGUUCUGGGCUGUAGUGCGCUAUGCCAUUUGGGUGUCUGCACUAAGUUUGGCAUAAGUAUGGUGACCUCCCAGGAGCAGGGGAGCACCAGGUUGCCUAAGGACGGGUGACCUGGCCCAGGCUGGAAACGGAGCAGGUCAUGAUGAGAGUGAACGUACUUUUGCCAACAGAGAGCCACUUCUCAAGGCCGAGACGACAACACCAGGCAAGUUACAAACCAGGUAACCUGUCUCCU
rnacentral:SRP_RNA from 1 species